UACGUAGGGGGCUAGCGUUGUCCGGAAUCAUUGGGCGUAAAGAGCGCGUAGGCGGCCAGAUAAGUCCGGUGUGAAAGUCAAAGGCUCAACCUUUGAAUGCCGCUGGAAACUGUCUGGCUAGAGUCCGGGAGGGGCGAGUGGAAUUCCUGGUGUAGCGGUGAAAUGCGCAGUUAUCAGGAGGAACACCAAUGGCGAAGGCAGCUCGCUGGAACGGUACUGACGCUGAGGCGCGAAAGCGUGGGGAGCGAACAGG
rnacentral:rRNA from 1 species